AACCAACCAGCUGUCCUCUCUGGAGUUCAGAGCGGCUCCAUUGAGAUCCCCUUCUCCUUCUAUUUCCCCUGGGAGUUGGCCAAUGAUCGGUCAAUGAGCAUAGCCUGGAUAUGGAAGUACUUCCAUGGGGAAGUCAUCUACAACUCCACCCAGCCUUUCCUUCAUGAGCAUUUUAAGGGCCGGCUCAUCAUGAACUGGACACAGGGUCAGACAUCUGGUGUCCUCAGAAUCCUGAACUUAAAGGAGAAUGACCAGGCCAGAUACUUCAGCCGAGUUUUUCUGCGAACAACUGAAGGCAUGAAGUCGUGGCAGUCAAUCCCUGGCACCCAACUCAUCAUUCAUGAGCUGGGGACCGAACCCAGGGCCUUGCGCUUGCUAGGCAAGUGCUCUACCACUGAGCUAAAUCCCCAACCCCUUGUGUGAACUUCUAACAGCUGUUCUGCAUCCCACAUCCAACCGAGGAGACAAAGUGUGACACUCACCCAUUCCUCACCUCAUUCAGGGAAGAUUUUCUCACUUCUCAUUUCUUCACAGCUCUCAAUACUACCAUAGGGAGCCCCUCUAUCAUCCCCUCUGCAUCCCCACAGCUGGCCUGGAGGACAAAAGGGGCCAGAGGAAUCCUUCACUGCUGAACCUGGGAGUCAUGGUUGGGAUGGUCUUGGCCAAAGUUGUGGUCAUCAUCCCCCUGUAUGGAUGGAUGAUCUUCCUGUGGUGGAAGCAAAGGCCAGCAGAAUAAAGACUAAACUCUAGUAAGGUGAGUGCCUGUCAUCUCAAGGGACAGAAGAGGAGCUGAUGGAAAGUUCACUAUGAGAGGCAUGGAAGGGAGCCAGAGCGAUGAUUCAGUCAGAAACACAUGGCACAGAGGCAGGAGGACCUGAGUUUGAUGGAUCAGGAAAUCACACCUAGGGAUGUGGCAGGAAUUUGCAAUCCCAGCCCUGGUCAAGCAAGAGAUGGGCAGAGACAUAUUGGCUGAACACCAAGUAUAGGACACUUGGUGAGUUCCAGGCCUGUGAAAGAUUGUGUCUUUAAAAAGUAGGGGUACUGCUCAAGGUGAUAAAUCAUGGACAUAACAUUUUCUAAAUUGAUUUUACCUGAAAUAUUUUAAAUUACACAUUAAGGAAGAAAAAUAAUAUAUGCCAGUGUGAAAGCUCAGUGAGAAAUGCCCUCUGCUGCCUAGCCCAGUGACCUGGGAAUGAUUUCUUCGGACCCAAAUGGUACACAGAGAACACUGACUCUGGAAAUCUGUCAUCUGUCUCUCCUGAUCGCCCACCAGAUGCUGGUAACAAAUAAUUUUUUAUUCCUCAACUAACAGGCUACUCUGUACUAGGAUCUCUCACCAGGGAGGUGAAUUUACAUCAAAGUAGUUGUUGGUGAUUACACACCCUGCAUCCCACAGCCUUCCAUGUCUUCUUGCUGGGAGUCAGUCAUCAUGGCUGCAGGAUUCUCCUGUGAAAGUCAUUCUUGGAUAACCCCCACUUCUACCAUGGGGACUCAGACACGCUCUCCUUGGAACCAUGGUCCUCCUGUGUAUUUCUGGGCCUGAAAGCCUGACUGUGCUGUUGUCUCUCUGCUCAUGGAGUUAUUGACACUGUUAAUAAAUAUCUUACUCCCAGCAAUCCAUCUCAGUGUCUCUCCUGAGCCUCUGUCUUUUCCCCUUCCUGACACUUCUUAGAGAGUGUAGACUGUGUCUAGGGUGUAGGUCACUGGGAUAGAUGUAA